UUUACUAUGUGUUGCUGGAAAGUUUUUUUUUCUUCUUCUGCUUUUUCUGCCGACUCGGCGGAGGGGCUUUGAAGGCAAUGGCGAAUACAGCAAGAUGGCGACCACGACGGGGCCGUCAUGUUUGCCGCGCCUGCCGUGUUGCGUUGAACGCUAUUGAAAUUUUGUCUUCUGAUGGAAGAGAGGGAGAAAAAUGGUGAGAAAAGGAGGAAGUGGAGAGAAAGAAGGGGGGGGGGGAAGAGAAAUGGAAGACGGACGCCGUGAGCAUCUGUUUCCUGUCUGCUCGGCAGCUGCGCUCUGGAACAAAUGACAAAAGAAGAAGAAGAAGAAAAAGAAGAAGACGAGGAGGAAGUACCAGUCGGACUGCCAACUCCGAAUGCAGAGGACGGCGUGAGUUCAAAGCGUGGCCCCGGGCCGCUGAUGGAGGGAAGAAGAAGAAACAGAGGGAAUGAAUGAAAAGAAGCCAAAGUGCCUGCAGGGGUCAGAACAGGGCAAACCAAGGUCGCAAUGGGUUCACGAGGCUCGUCCCCUGAUCCCCUCUGAGCCUCUAAGACCCCUCUGAUCAUCUCCGGCGCUUCCUGUGAGUAGUUUUUUCG